rnacentral:rRNA from 1 species
UACAGAGGGUGCAAGCGUUGUUCGGAAUUAUUUGGCGUAAAGCGCGUGUAGGCGGCUUUGCAAGUCGGGUGUGAAAGCCCUCAGCUUAACUGAGGAAGUGCGCCCGAAACUGCAGAGCUUGAGUACCGGAGAGGAUGGUGGAAUUCCCCAAGUAGAGGUGAAAUUCGUAGAUAUGGGGAGGAACACCGGUGGCGAAGGCGACCAUCUGGACGGAUACUGACGCUGAGACGCGAAAGCGUGGGGAGCAAACAGG